rnacentral:rRNA from 1 species
UACAGAGGUCUCAAGCGUUGUUCGGAUUCAUUGGGCGUAAAGGGUGCGUAGGCGGUCGGAUAAGUCUGACGUGAAAUCUCCGGGCCUAACCCGGAAACUGCGUUGGAAACUAUCUGGCUAGAGGAAUGGAGAGGAGACUGGAAUACUUGGUGUAGCAGUGAAAUGCGUAGAUAUCAAGUGGAACACCAGUGGCGAAGGCGAGUCUCUGGACAUUUCCUGACGCUGAGGCACGAAAGCCAGGGGAGCAAACGGG